UUCCAAUUUAUUUUCCAACGCGCGGGAAAAUGGCGGCAAAUGUAUACUUUUUUUUUAUAGUAUAUCUAUGGCACCAAACAAAGUAAAGGUGCCAGUUUCCAGGUCAAAAAAAAAAACAACAACAAUGCUUUUUUGGCGACAUUAUAGUACAGUUACACUUUGUAAACAAUGCUUUUAUAGGCCAUAGAGCGUACACUUUUUCAAAGAGUUUAAUUAUGUAUGUACUUAUAUUAGACUUUUUGGUUAUUUAAAUGCCAGAUUAAAGUAGAGGAGUAGAAAAUAGUAUUUUAUGCAACAGUUGUAUAAGAAGGGUCAAAAAAUGCGAGUGGCGUGAGUUGCGAUGUGAGCCUUGGCGAACAUCGCAAUAAGAGACGCCACGAGCAUUUUUUGACCUAGUUAUACAACGUUGCAUACAAUACUUUUUCUACGACGACGUAAUUUUAAACGAAACACAAAAAUUUUCCAAUUUAUUUUCCAACGCGCGGGAAAAUGGCGGCAAAUGUAUACUUUUUUUUUAUAGUAUAUCUAUGGCACCAAACAAAGUAAAGGUGCCAGUUUCCAGGUCAAAAAAAAAAAAAACAACAACAAUGCUUUUUUGGCGACAUUAUAGUACAGUUACACUUUGUAAACAAUGCUUUUAUAGGCCAUAGAGCGUACACUUUUUCAAAGAGUUUAAUUAUGUAUGUACUUAUAUUAGACUUUUUGGUUAUUUAAAUGCCAGAUUAAAGUAGAGGAGUAGAAAAAAAUAAU